rnacentral:rRNA from 1 species
GCAUAUCAAUAAGCGGAGGAAAAGAAACCAACAGGGAUUGCCCCAGUAACGGCGAGUGAAGCGGCAACAGCUCAAAUUUGAAAUCUGGCCUCCGGGUCCGAGUUGUAAUUUGUAGAGGAUGCUUUUGGCGAGGUGCCUUCCGAGUUCCCUGGAACGGGACGCCAUAGAGGGUGAGAGCCCCGUCUGGUCGGACACCGAGCCUCUGUAAAGCUCCUUCGACGAGUCGAGUAGUUUGGGAAUGCUGCUCAAAAUGGGAGGUAUAUGUCUUCUAAAGCUAAAUAUUGGCCAGAGACCGAUAGCGCACAAGUAGAGUGAUCGAAAGAUGAAAAGCACUUUGAAAAGAGGGUUAAAAAGUACGUGAAAUUGUUGAAAGGGAAGCGCCUAUGACCAGACUUGGGCCCGGUGAAUCAUCCAGCGUUCUCGCUGGUGCACUUUGCCGGGCACAGGCCAGCAUCAGUUUGGCGCGGGGGAAAAAGGUUUUGGGAAUGUGGCUCCCUCGGGAGUGUUAUAGCCCAUUGCGUAAUACCCUGCGCCGGACUGAGGUACGCGCAUCGCAAGGAUGCUGGCGUAAUGGUCAUCAGCGACCCGUCUUGAAACACGGACCAAGGAGUCGUCUUCGUAUGCGAGUGUUCGGGUGUCAAACCCCUACGCGUAAUGAAAGUGAACGCAGGUGAGAGCUUCGGCGCAUCAUCGACCGAUCCUGAUGUUCUCGGAUGGAUUUGAGUAAGAGCAUACGGGGCCGGACCCGAAAGAAGGUGAACUAUGCCUGUAUAGGGUGAAGCCAGAGGAAACUCUGGUGGAGGCUCGCAGCGGUUCUGACGUGCGAAUCGAUCGUCAAAUAUGGGCAUGGGGGCGAAAGACUAAUCGAACCUUCUAGUAGCUGGUUUCCGCCGAAGUUUCCCUUCAG